rnacentral:tRNA from 1 species
GCCCGGGGCCUUAGUUGGUAGUGCGUCUGCCUUGUAAGCGCUAGGCCGCGGGUUCGAUUCCCGCCCGGGGCG